CCCCUAGAUGUUCUGGGCCGCACGCGCGCUACACUGAACAGUUCAACAAGUCUUAACCUUGGCCGAUAGGUCUGGGUAAUCUUUGAACGCUGUUCGUGAUUGGGAUAGACCUUUGCAAUUAUGGGUCUUCAACGAGGAAUGCCUAGUAAGCGCAAGUCAUCAGCUUGCGUUGAUUACGUCCCUGCCCUUUGUACACACCGCCCGUCGCUCCUACCGAUUGAAUGGUCCGGUGAAGCGUUCGGACCGUGGCCUUUGGACGGUUCGCCGUCUGUUGGCUGCGGGAAGUUCGUUAAACCUUAUCAUUUAGAGGAAGGAGAAGUCGUANCA
rnacentral:rRNA from 1 species